rnacentral:rRNA from 1 species
UUGAAGGUCUGGCCUGCCCAAUGAAGUUUAAAUGGCCGCAGUAUUUUGACUGUGCAAAGGUAGCAUAAUCAUUAGUUUCUUAAUUAGAAGCUGGAAUGAAAGGUUUGAUGAGAAAUCAACUGUCUCAUAAUUAUUAUAGUUGAAUUUUAUUUUUGAGUUAAAAAGCUUAAAUUUUUUAUAGGGACGAGAAGACCCUAUAGAGUUUUAUUAUUUUAUUUUUAUUUAGAGAUGUUUAUUUAUUUAAUAUUUAAAAUAAUUUUGUUGGGGUGACAAAGAAAUUUAAUAAACUUUCUUUUAUUUUUACACUAUUUAGUGAUUUUUUGAUCCUUUAUUUAAGAUUAAAAGAUUAAAUUACCUUAGGGAUAACAGCGUUAUUUCUUCUGAAAGUUCAUAUUUAUGAAGGAGUUUGCGACCUCGAUGUUGGAUUAAAGUUAAUUUUUGGUGUAGAGGCUAAAAUAUUAGGUCUGUUCGACCUUUAAAACUUUACA